rnacentral:rRNA from 1 species
AGAGUUUGAUCCUGGCUCAGAUCGAACGCUGGCGGCGGGCCUAACACAUGCAAGUCGAACGAGAAAACCCGCUUCGGUGGGCGAGUAAAGUGGCGCACGGGUGAGUAACACGUGGAUAAUUUACCUCCAAGCUGGGGAUAAUCUGCCGAAAGGCGGCCUAAUACCCAAUGAUACAAGUAUUCUGAGGUUUACUUGUUGAAGAUUGCCGAUCUACAGAAGCUGUCACUUGGAGAUAAGUCCGCGGACUAUUAGCUAGUUGGUAGGGUAAAUGCCUACCAAGGCAAAGAUGGUUAGCUGGUCUGAGAGGAUGAUCAGCCACACUGGAACUGAGUCACGGUCCAGACUCCUACGGGAGGCAGCAGUGGGGAAUAUUGCGCAAUGGGGGAAACCCUCACGCAGCCACGCCGCGUGAGUGAUGAAGGCUUUCGGGUCGUAAAGCUCUGUCAGAUGGGAAGAAAACCUUAGGGUUAAUAUCCUUAAGGCUUGACGGUACCAUCAGAGGAAGCACCGGCUAACUCCGUGCCAGCAGCCGCGGUAAUACGGAGGGUGCAAGUGUUGAUCGGAUUUACUGGGCGUAAAGGGCGUGUAGGCGGCCAUUCGUGUCGGAUGUGAAAGCCCUAGGCUUAACCUAGGAAGUGCAUUCGAAACUGUUUGGCUUGAGUACGGGAGAGGAGAGUGGAAUUCCUGGUGUAGAGGUGAAAUUCGUAGAUAUCAGGAGGAACACCAGUGGCGAAGGCGGCUCUCUGGACCGAUACUGACGCUGAUACGCGAAAGCGUGGGGAGCAAACAGGAUUAGAGACCCUGGUAGUCCACGCCGUAAACGGUGUACACUAGGUGUAGAGGGUAUCGACCCCUUCUGUGCCGCAGCUAACGCAUUAAGUGUACCGCCUGGGGAGUACGGUCGCAAGAUUAAAACUCAAAGGAAUUGACGGGGGCCCGCACAAGCGGUGGAGCAUGUGGUUUAAUUCGACGCAACGCGAAGAACCUUACCUGGACUUGACAUCUCCGGAAUAUCCUGGAAACAGGAUAGUGCCCUUCGGGGAGCCGGAUGACAGGUGCUGCAUGGCUGUCGUCAGCUCGUGUCGUGAGAUGUUGGGUUAAGUCCCGCAACGAGCGCAACCCUUAUCUUUAGUUGCCAUCAUUUAGUUGGGAACUCUAAAGAAACUGCCCCGGUCAACGGGGAGGAAGGUGGGGACGACGUCAAGUCCUCAUGGCCUUUAUGUCCAGGGCUACACACGUGCUACAAUGGCAGGUACAAAGGGCAGCGAACUCGUGAGAGUAAGCAAAUCCCAAAAAGCCUGUCCCAGUUCGGAUUGGAGUCUGCAACUCGACUCUAUGAAGUCGGAAUCGCUAGUAAUCGUGGAUCAGCAUGCCACGGUGAAUACGUUCCCGGGCCUUGUACACACCGCCCGUCACACCACGAAAGUAGAUUGCACCAGAAAUCGCUGGGCCAACCUUUCAGGAGGCAGGCGCCUAAGGUGUGGUUUAUGAUUGGGGUGAAGUCGUAACAAGGUA